AAAAAUAACUGUAACACGUAAAUUUAUCAAUAUCUAACUUUGAAUUUUCAUCGGUCGAAGAUUCUGUAAAAAUGAUAGUAUCAUUUAGUUUAUUUUCGGUAAGUCUAUUGCAGUUCCAUACACAAAUUUCCAUAUUUGUUGGGCCAUCCUCCACUAAAUCUUAGUCAACCUUUUCAGGUUUUCCGUCAAUAAACAGAGUAUCGUAAGAUAUCCAGGCUUUCUGAUGCCGCAUCCUUAGUUUUCUUUAGUAAUGGUAUCAAUCGACGGCAUUUGUUCAUAACCUCAUCUUACUUUUCCAAAUUAUCUAACGUUUGCAAUUUCAAUUCAACAUUUUCGAUUUUAUCUUCAGCUACAACAAAAGAACAGAUAAAAAAGCGGAAGUAUGAAAAACCGAAAAAACAAAACAAAGGCAAAUCAACUCUAGAGACAAAAAAACCAUCAACGACGACUGUAUGUUAUGAGAACAAACCGUCAGAAGAAGAAAAGGACAACCCAAAUUGCAUUGCACCAAUACGAAAUAAUGAAAUCAAAUCAAACGACUCGCAAGAUGACAGUACUUUGGAUAACGUUGACCUAAACAGACUUUUCCGAGAAGAAGGUAAAACGUCACCAAAAUUACAUGAUGAAUGCAGAAAAAUUUGUAAAGUAAUAAAGAGUAAAUCAGAACACAUUGCUCAUGUCGAAGCAGCUUAUAGAAAAGAAAAUGACGAAACAGUUAUAUUUCUUGUAUUU